rnacentral:rRNA from 1 species
UACCUACGGGGGGCAGCAGUGGGGAAUAUUGCACAAUGGGGGGAACCCUGAUGCAGCGACGCCGCGUGGGUGAAGGAGUACUUCGGUACGUAAAGCCCUAUCAGCAGGAAAGAAAAUGACGGUACCUGACUAAGAAGCCCCGGCUAACUACGUGCCAGCAGCCGCGGUAAUACGUAGGGGGCAAGCGUUAUCCGGAUUUACUGGGUGUAAAGGGAGCGUAGACGGCAGUGCAAGUCUGGAGUGAAAGGCGGGGGCUCAACCCCCGGACUGCUCUGGAAACUGUACGGCUGGGGUGCAGG